rnacentral:rRNA from 1 species
GUCUAUGGCCAUACCACCCUGAAAGCGCCCAAUCUCGUCUGAUCUCGGAAGCUAGCAGGGUCGGGCCUGGUUAGUACUUGGAUAGGAGAUAUUAUAAAGC